rnacentral:rRNA from 1 species
AACGAACGCUGGCGGCAUGCCUAACACAUGCAAGUCGAACGAAGUCUUCGGACUUAGUGGCGCACGGGUGCGUAACGCGUGGGAAUCUGCCCUUGGGUACGGAAUAACUCAGAGAAAUUUGUGCUAAUACCGUAUAAUGUCUUCGGACCAAAGAUUUAUCGCCCAAGGAUGAGCCCGCGUAAGAUUAGCUAGUUGGUGGGGUAAAAGCCUACCAAGGCGACGAUCUUUAGCUGGCCUGAGAGGAUGAUCAGCCACACUGGGACUGAGACACGGCCCAGACUCCUACGGGAGGCAGCAGUGGGGAAUAUUGGACAAUGGGCGAAAGCCUGAUCCAGCAAUGCCGCGUGAGUGAUGAAGGCCUUAGGGUUGUAAAGCUCUUUUACCAGGGAUGAUAAUGACAGUACCUGGAGAAUAAGCUCCGGCUAACUCCGUGCCAGCAGCCGCCGUAAUAC